CAUCCGGACGGGAAUAUGUCGGGGAGUGAAGACGACAGGGACCAUUUUGGACCCAUGAGAGAUGAUGAUGCAGAUGAACCAAUAUCGGAGGCAGAAAUUCCCAAAUCCAAAAAGAAGAAGAAAGCUAAGAAAAGCCGUGAAAGCAGGAGCAGUAAACGACAGAAACUCCUCAGAGAGGAUGUUCCUGUCAGCUCUCCUGAAGUCAUGGAAGCAAUCCGAUUGGUAGAAGGUGAGGAAGAUGAGGAGGACAGAGUGAUGCGAUCUGAGAGUGAAGGGAGUGACUAUGCACCAAGCAAGAAGAAGAAAAAGAGAUCCAGCUCCUCCAAGGAGAGAAAGAAGGGAGGCUCAGCGGGAGAAAAGGCUGGUGGCUCAUCUGGAGGAAAAAGCAAACGUAAAGACCCAGAGCCUGAGGAGGAAGAUGAUGACGAUGAUGAUGACGGUCAGGUAAGGGUUAGCCCGUGCGUGGUCAUUGUUAAUCCCGGGUUUGAUAUUUAAAACCUUGGCACACUAAAAAAGUCAGUGUCACAUGAGGGUGAUCUGAUAACUACAAAUACAUAAAUAAAAACACUGCAUUUCCAAAAAAAAAAUAAAAAAAUUUAUAUUUGUGCACAAGAUUAUAUUGUUAUUAUUAUUAUUUAUUUAUUUAGAUUUUUGUGACUUAUGCUUUUAACAAACAGUGUUACUUGUACAAAGUACAUGUUCCUGGAAAAGUCUGAUACCGAUAUUGAGCCUUGUCUUUGCUUUCCCUGUCUACUUUGUUGGCACAACAAAUAGAUUUUCAGUUUUGUUUGUAAAGUUUUUAUCAGUGCUUCUUAUAUCUUUCAUUUGCCUUCUGUUGGUACACUGUCAUUCAAAAGUUUGGGGUUGGUGAGAUUUUUAAAGGGGUCAUAGGACUUUGCUAAAAAUAAAAUUAUUUUGUGUAUUUGGUGUAAUUAAAUGUGUUUAUGUAGUUUAAGGUUCAAAAACAUUAUUUUCCAUAUAAUGUACAUUAUUGUUGCUCCUUUAAGCCCCGCCUUUCUGAAACGCGUCGAUUUUUACAAAGCUCAUCUAAAAAAGCGCGGUGUGCUCUGAUUGGCCAGCUAUCCAGUGUGUUGUGAUUGGCUGAAUGCCUCAAGCGUGUGACGGAAAUGUUACGCCCCUUAACAUACUGUGGCGCGGUCUCCCAGCAUGACGAGAUAAAACCUAAAAAAUGAGAUAAAUACUGAUUAUAAUCACUUAUACUGUCUUUUUAUGUGUUGUGUUGCGUAUCGCGCUGCGUAAACAUAAAACCCAUGUCUGCAUUUGUGAUCUGAGAAACAACAAAAAGCUCUACUCUACACUGCUUAAAACUCACAUUUGAAUCGUCAGUGGCAAAUUCUUUAAAUAUGUUAAUGUGCUUACAGACUGUGAGUCAGAAGCGCCAGACUGUCCUUGCAAAGUUGGAAUUGCCCCAAUUGCCAAACUCCAUAAAAUGCGCUGCACACAUCUGAAUAUUUGGGUUGAACUGUUCUAGAACAGUGUUGUAAAUACAACUUAACAACUGAUUUCUAGUUGUGUCCUCUUUUGGAAUACCAAUCAAAGUAGUUUUGCUUUCACAACGAAACACAGCGUCUUCACAACAUGGCACCAGCAGCAACAGCCAGAAUAAAAGUUAUACCUUCUUUCUUUAUGUGAACAUUUUUGCGGUGUUAUGCAAAUCUUCCCACAUCGUGACGUAGACAUGUGGGGGCAUGUUUAAACGAGCUGUUUUAGGAGGGCGUGGUUGACUCUUAACUUUUAUAAAGAAUAUCUCUUUGGAUUUGAGACUUUAGUCUUUGCAACUUUACAGAUCUUCUUUAUGCACCAAGAGCUUUUAACAUUCCAAAGAGAAAGGAAAAACUGAAAUCACAUCAUAUGACCCCUUUAAAUGUCAAUUAUUAUUUUUGGUGGAAACUGUGACGCAUUUUUUUCAGGUUCAAAACAACAGCAUUUAUUUGAAAUGGAAAUGAUUUGUAAAAUUACUUUUGCUGAAUAAAAGUUAUGUUUUCUGUCCCCAAACUUUUGAACAAUAGUGUAUGUAUGUGGAUAAAAGUUCAGGUCACAUGAUGUCGUGUGUGUGUGUGUAUAUAUAUAUAUAUAUAUAUAUAUAUAUAUAUAUAUAGUUAGUAGUAGUAGGUACUACUAUACUAAAAUAGUUGUGUCCAGAUGCCAAACCAUA
rnacentral:lncRNA from 1 species